rnacentral:rRNA from 1 species
CCGACCCUAGGUCAGGAAGGAUUAACCGUUGAGUUUAAGCAUAUCAAUAAGAGGAGGAAAAGAAACAUACAAGGAUUUUCUUAGUAACAGCGAGCAAACCGGGAACAACCUAGCCUUAGAAUCGGGUGGCUUCGUUAUCUAAAUUAUAGUCAUAAGAAUCAUCCUUAGCGGCGGACCAGGCCUAAGUCCCCUAGAAGGGGGCGCUAGAGAGGGUGACAUCCCUGUUGUGCCCAAGCCUGUCACAACACGAGACGCUGUCUACGAGUCAGGUUGUUCAGAAAUGCAGCCCAAAUUGGGUGGUGAAUUCCAUCUAAGACUAAAUACGGGAGAGAGAUCAAUAUCGAAUAAGUUCUGCGAGGGAAAGAUGAAAAGGACUUUGAAAAGAGAGUUAAAAAGUGCUUGAAAUUAUCGGGAGAAAAGAGGAUGGUUGCUGGUGAUGCACCUCGAUCAAAUAUGGAAUGAAGACGAGCUAGUCUGUCGAUCUACUUGAGGCGUGGAUCAGCAUGGAUUGGUGGGCAGACCAGGCUCUCGAUACGCUCGUGGAAUAUCGCCUCCUCGAUUGUGGCAGGAAGAGCGUGCCUUUGGAGUGAUUCGGUAUCUAUGUGCUCUGGACGCGGGCCUGUGGGCUCCCUAUUUGACCCUUCUUGAAACACAAAUCAAGGAGUCUAACAUAUGUGCGAGUCAAUGAGUGAGUAAACCCAUAAGGUGUAAGAAAGCUAAUUGGUGGGAUCCCCCUUGAGGGGUGCACCGCCGACCGAUCUUGAUCUUUUGAGAAGGGUUCGAGUGUGAUCAUACCUAUUGAGACACGAAAUAUAGUGAUCUAUGCCUGAGCAGGGCGAAGCCAUAGAAACUCUGGUGGAGACCCGCAAUGAUACUGAUGUGUAAAUCGUUCAUCUAACUUGGGUGUAGGGGAUAAAUACCAAUCAAACCAUCUAGUAUUAGGUUUCCUCCAAGGUUUCCCUCAGGAUAGUUGGAGCUUCUGUACAAGUUCUAUCUGGUAAAGCCAAUGAUUAGGGGCCUCGGGGGUGCAACGCCCUCAACCUAUUCUCAAACUUUUAAUAGGUAAGAUGGCACGACUGCUUUGUUGAGCCACACCACAGAAUCAAGAGCUCCAAGUAGGCCAUUUUUAGUAAGCAGAACUGACUAUACGAGAUGAACUGGAAUUCGGGUUACAGUGCCAAACUGUUCACUAACCUAGAUCUCACAAAGGGUGUUGGUCGAUUAAGACAGCUGGAAAUGUGUAACAACUUACCUACCAAAUCAACUAGCCCAAAAAAUGGAUGGCACUUAAGCGCACGACCUACACCUGGCCGUCAGGGCAAGUGCAAGGCCCCAAUGAGUAGGAGGAAGCGGUGGUCUCUACAAAACCUUGGGCGUGAGCCUCUGUGGAGCUGUUGUCGGUGCAGAUCUUAGUGGUAGUAGCAAAUAUUUAAAUUAGAACUUUGAAGGCCUAAUAAAAGAAAGAUUCCAUGUGAACGACACUUGCACAUGGGUUAGUCGAUCCUAAAGGUCGGGGGUUCCCCGAUAGAUAAUGCAUUUCUCGCGUACUUCAAAAGAGAAUCGGGUUAAAAUUCCUUAAUUAGGAUAUGGCGGUCAACGACAAUGUUAGAAAGUUUUGAGAUAUCGGCAGGAGCCUCAGAAAGAGUUACCUUUUCUGCUUAAUAGCCUGGCCAUCCUAUAAUUGGCUCAGUCGGAGGUAGGGUCCAGCAGUUGGAAGAGCACUGCACGUUGCGUGGUGUCUGAUGCACUCCCAGUGGCACUUGAAAACUAGAGGAUCGAAUGCCGUCCAUGCCUGGUUGUACUCAUAACCGCAUCAGGUCUCCAUUAUGAACAUCCUCUAAUCGAUGGAACAAUGUAGACAAGUGAAGUUGGUAAAAUGGAUCUGUAACUUCGGAAAAAGGAUUGGCUUUGAAGUCCGGGAAUGGGGGUCCCAGCCUCUAACUCAUUGGUUGUCUAUGGACUGCUCGAGAUGCUCUCAUGGCGAGAGCAGGUCACCACAGCCAGUCGGGGGAUGGACUGAGAACAGUUCCUUUGGGGGCCUUCCCCGCGCAUCAAACAACCAACUCUUAACUGGUACGGUCAUAGGGAAUCUGACUGUUUAUUUAAAACAAAGCAUUGCGAUGGACCCAAUGGAUGUUCACACAAUAUGAUUUUAUCCCAAUGCUCUGAAUGUCAAACUGAAGAAAUUCAACCAAGCAUGGGUAAACAGAGUAACUAUGACUCUCUUAAGGUAUCCAAAUGCCUUGUCAUCUAAUUAGUGAUGCGCAUGAAUGGAUUAAUAAGAUUUCCACUGUCCCUAUCUAUUAUCCAUAAAAUCACCGUUAAAGGAGCUGACUUGGCAGAAAUCAACGGGGAAAGAAAACCCUGUUAAGCUUGACUCUAGUCCGACUUUGUGAAAUGACUUGAGAGGUGUAGUAUAAGUGGGAGUCGAAAGGCAAAAUUUAAAUACCACUAUUUUAAAGUUAUUUUACUUAUUUCGUGAAUCAGAAGUGGGGCAUUGCCCCUCUUUU